AUGGGCAACACAAACGCCCGUUUGUUUAGUCCCACAUCGGCCAGCCGGGGACAGACGGUCUGGUUUAUAAGGAAGAGCGCUGCAGCUAGCAUCGUCCCUUCGGGGACAUCCGAUAAAAUUGGAACGAUACAGAGAAGAUUAGCAUGGCCCCUGCGCAAGGAUGACAUGCACAAAUCGAGAAAUGGUCCAAAUUUUUUUUAG
rnacentral:rRNA from 1 species